GUGAAUAGUGAACACUGCUGGGC
rnacentral:piRNA from 1 species